UACGUAGGGGGCAAGCGUUGUCCGGAAUCAUUGGGCGUAAAGAGCGUGUAGGCGGCCCGAUAAGUCCGUCGUGAAAGGCCGAGGCUCAACCUCGGAAAGCCGGUGGAUACUGUCGGGCUAGAGUCCGGAAGAGGCGAGUGGAAUUCCUGGUGUAGCGGUGAAAUGCGCAGAUAUCAGGAGGAACACCAAUGGCGAAGGCAGCUCGCUGGGACGGUUACUGACGCUGAGACGCGAAAGCGUGGGGAGCAAACAGG
rnacentral:rRNA from 1 species